GACGAACGCUGGCGGCGUGCUUAACACAUGCAAGUCGAGCGGUAAGGCCCUUUCGGGGGUACACGAGCGGCGAACGGGUGAGUAACACGUGGGUGACCUGCCCUCAGCUCUGGGAUAAGCCUGGGAAACUGGGUCUAAUACUGGAUAUGACUCCACGGUGCAUGUCGUGGGGUGGAAAGCCUUGUGCGGCUGAGGAUGGGCCCGCGGCCUAUCAGCUUGUUGGUGGGGGAUGGCCUACCAAGGCGACGACGGGUAGCCGGCCUGAGAGGGCGACCGGCCACACUGGGACUGAGACACGGCCCAGACUCCUACGGGAGGCAGCAGUGGGGAAUCUUGCGCAAUGGGCGAAAGCCUGACGCAGCGACGCCGCGUGAGGGAUGACGGCCU
rnacentral:rRNA from 1 species